CAGCCUGAAGAGAAAGAGAGAGCUACUGCUGAAUAAGGCAUUGGAAAACACCAUGGUCACGAUCACAGAGUUUCAGAAGAUCGGAGUGGGCCUGACAGGCUUUGGAGUGUUCUUUCUGCUCUUCGGCGUGUUACUGUACUUUGACUCUGUCCUGCUGGCACUUGGAAAUGUGCUUUUUCUGACUGGCUUAGCCUUCAUCAUUGGCCUGAGAAGGACAGCACACUUUUUCUUCCAGAGGCAGAAGCUGAAAGCCUCUACCUUCUUCCUGGGUGGUGUGGCUCUGGUGCUCCUGCGCUGGCCAGUCAUUGGCAUGGCAGUGGAGAGUUACGGCUUUGUGCUGCUGUUUAAGUCAUUUUUCCCCAUGGCGUUUGGAUUUUUGGGAUCACUGAUGAAUAUCCCAUAUCUCAGCUCGCAAACUUGAACACUAUCACAUAUGAGGGACUGUGAAACUAUCAAAUCACUGUUUGCCACACUUUCCUCAUCAAUUUAUCUGGAAGCAGUUCAUCUAUGGUUUGAAAGCUAAAGAGAAGACGCAAUGGCUGUCAUGUUACCAUCAGUCCAUAGAACCUGAGGCUGCUGUAAAAGUUUACUUUAUAUGGACAUUUCAGCAUCAAAGUGAGAGAAACACUGACUUGGACAUUUCAUAUACUAGAAUUUGUGUUAGCUACACAAGAUAUUAUAUAUUUAUGAUGAUGAUAAAGUUGUAUUUAUAAUGUACCCGCCGCAGGUGUAUAAUGUUUGCAAUAAGGAAUUCAUCCAAUUUGACUUCACAAACAGCUAAAUAAUGUAUCGAUUAAAAAUGGAGCAGCAGGGUUUGUGAAAUAUAGUCUAUAAAACGAAAUAAAAUGGCAUGUAAUGUGACUGGUAUGAAUAAAAUAUAUCUGUUUUCUGGUA